AGUGGGCCCCGGCCCCUAUCCCACUCCUGGCUUGGCUCAGCUCCCUCCCAAUCCCUGCCCGGUCCCAGCUCCAUUCCCUUCCCCCACAGACUUUCCUACCGGGAGGGAGGGAGAUGUGCAUACACAUACGCGCUCAGCCCCACCUCCCCAAAAAAAAUUCUUUUCCUUUGCCUAUGGUUGUAUAUCUCAUCCAGUGCACCAAAUGCCCUGAUAUAAAAUAUGUAGGAGAAACCAAACAGCAGCUGUGUACCAGAAUGAAUGCACACCAAAAAUCUAUCAAAGACAAGAAUACCCAACUACCUAUUGGGGAACACUUCUCACAAGAAAACCAUUCUCUCUCCAGUCUCUCAGUUCUAAUCCUCAAAGGGAAUUUACAAAACACUUUUCACAGACGAGCCUAUGAACUUCAUUUCAUCAGCCUCCUUGAUACAAAAAAAACCCAAACUAAAUAUAGACAUUGGACUUAUGACACAUUAUAACAUCUGCCUAACAGGUAACCUCUCUACUAUUUACCAGCUAUGUUCUUAUCACCAGGUCUACAUUCUCCUCCCCCUCUCAUCCACUGACUGCCUCAAUUUGCAUUUUCACUGACUGGCUUUCUCGCAUGCAUACUGGCUUGUGACUUCUUUUAUAUUCCAUCCCGGCAGAGUGGAGACAAACUGCAAAUGCUUCCUCAGCCUGACAAAAGAGUGUUUGUGCCUGAAAGCUUGCAAAGAAGAAUUUUUCCAACUAUUUUAGUUCUGUCUCAUAAAAGAUACCGUAUUUACCCAAAUAACCUUGUCUGCCUAUUUUCUAGUAAAAACACUUUCUGACUGAAAAUGUCUCUGUGUAUGAAACAUCCUAAACAUUUCAAUAAAAUCUAGUCCAGGCCUUUAUGCUUUGCUUUUUUGUAAUUUAUUUAAAGUAUUUAGGUAAGACAUUCCCAGUGCUUGUUUUGGAUAUGUUACGAAUCAAGUAGUAAAAGACUGAAAUCUAAUGGUUAAUGGAAUAUAAAACUCUCUUGACACACAAGCAAUUAUUUUUGCAAUUAAUUGUAUGGAAAGAAGAGGGGAGCUGCCCUAGGUGUAAUCCCAGAAAUAGAUAAUAGAAAUGUUUAUGUUUUGUCAAGUAUAACUUUUUAACAAUUAUUUGUUUAAUAAUUUACUUAUUAAAUAAUUAUUACCAAUUUGCUUGUUUGUCAGAAGUCAACCUUACUCUAAGUUAAUUGUGAUGGAAACCAAGGUGUUGGGACCAAUAUACUUCUGGAAGGUUGCAAGGAGGAGCUCAAGGCAUUUUAGUGAACAUACCAAGAUAAGCCAAAGGAAAUAGAUCAUCAAAAUCUGAGAGAGAGAGAGUACUUCCUUUGGUAAAGGCCAAAUGAAAGAUGCAUGAAUAUCCAUUGCUUGAGAUGUAUAUAACUUGUUUUCUAAACCCCAUGGACCUUGUUGAACUUGGGCUUUGAUUGUGUUUCCAUUUCGGUCCUUGGGAAUUUAGGCUUCAUUGGGAUUUGGUUAGGGCCCUGGACAAAGGAAGGUCUAUGAGCUCUGUUGUUACCUGCAGGUGGUUCCGUCAAGAUCUAUUACUGAUCAAACAAAUCUCCACCUCUUUGAGAACUUCUGAGAGUUUUAACUAUCAUGAUGGAAACAUAAAAAAGAUAAAAGAAAAAAAUAACCAAAACAGUAAAAUGCCUUCAUGUUGAUGCAACUGUUUUUGAAGUAAAUGGAUACACGUCAGCAAUUAAUUUAGCUAGUUUAGUUUCUAAAGAAUAAGAAUGUGUACAUUGUUAUCUUUCUAUUGAUGUCAUCAAGUCCUGCUCUCAUACUGUUUUAAACUCAGGGGCGUUAAGUGGAUGCCAUUAAAAACAACACAUACCUUUCCGUUCUUUGAAAAAUCAAAAUGGGGGUGAGAAGUAAAGAUAGGAAUGGAAUGUUCUGUUUUCUUGUUUUCUUAAACUUUUUCUUCAUUGACCUUUGAGUUGUUGCAGCUACCUUGUGCCUUGUUCCUUUGUUUAAAUACAUGUAUGGAUAUGCACAACAAAACCAUGUAUGUUUUAGUUAUGGGCAGGGGUUGGUUAUUGCAGGAAUCUGUGAAAUGCUGUGUGGAAAGCCAGGACAGUGUCAACAUGCAUAUGCAUCUAGGGUUAUUUUGUAUCAUGUUUUUAAUGGCUCCCAUUGUCACCUGUUAGUAAGGCUCCAGUUUUUGCUAUGGAUUACAGAAUACUCAUGAUGGAACAUGCUUUAUUCUGACUCUUAACUACUAAUAGUGCACUUGUAAGUGAAAUAAAAGUUAUGUCAAUAUAAAGAAA